ACAGCGACUUCAGGUAGUCUCGGUCUUAGCGCAGUCCGCGGACUUUCUUGUCUUUCUGCGUACUGUACUAACUGAGCGACCAAUUGAUACCUAAGUUUAGCUGAUCUUUUUAUUGAAUUAAUUAAAACUGUUUUGAAAUCUAUUCUGUAAGAGCCUGAGAAAAAUUGCGGCCACAGAAGCUGUUUUGAAAUGCGCUUGGCUUCCGACUUCCGCAAGGGGAGGCAGCUGUUUCUUGUAGUCUUUCUCUGUCACCUACACUGGAAUGCAGUGGCACAGUCUCAGCUCAGCUCACUGCAACCUCCACCUCCCGGGUUCAAGUGAUUCUCAUACCUCAGCCUCCUGAGUAGCUGGGAUUACAGAGACCUGGACUUAAUCUCAGCUGGUGUACAGAGUUCUCUCCAAAAACAAGUGGCCUACUUCACAUUCAGUGAAUUGAUAUAUUCUUAUUUUAAGUUAUCAGGUCCCUGAACUUUAGCUGGCCCCAAAACUUGAGCAAGCUCUAAAAAGCAGAACAUCUCCCACUUAACAGUUUAUUCUGAGAACUGGCCAACCACAGGAGGGAAAAUCAUAUCUCCAGUUAAAGUGCCCUGAUCAUGCCAUCUGCUCAUCCUACCCCCUUUGCCCUGCUCCCACACAAAGUUCCUGCUAGCCCUGUUUACGUCUUCUUUUUUAAACUCUUUUUUUUAAAUUUGAUUUUUAGACAUUUGAAGAUUUCCGUGGUCAGAGGGUCUGUAAUAGUCUUUUUUGAAUAAAGCUGCUCCUUACCUAAAUCCAGAUUUGUUUUCAUUGAAUAUAAUAAUAAAUGACCAUAUUACUUUCACC